ACAAGAGCUGGAAGUAAUGAGGA
rnacentral:piRNA from 1 species